GGGUGCGUAGCUCAGUUGGUAGAGCAACUGACUCUUAAUCAGUGGGUCUGGGGUUCGAAUCCCCACGCGCCCACCA
rnacentral:tRNA from 2 species